rnacentral:hammerhead_ribozyme from 1 species
AUCCAGCUGACGAUUCCCAAAUGGGACGAAACGCGCGUCAAACUGGAU